GAGGCCAUAGAACUAGGAAAUUAGGGUAAAUGUUGUGACGAUUAAGCUUCAGUCUUAGACUUUCUCCUCACUCUCCCUUCACCUAUCUCUCGCCGGAAAUCGCUCUGCCUUGUCGGAGGCGGCGGAGUUCGGCCAAAAUAUAGAAAACGACGACAAGAUAGCUCGUCUACCCGCGGGCUACCACAAUCUCAUAUCAAAUUCGCUCACGGAAGCUUAACCGACAUGUUAACUCGAAAGGGGAAAACGAAAACCUAAACGCACAACGGCACAAUCAUGAAGCGAUCAGAUGGACACAGAGUUUAAGUCGAUAUCAUUGAGCAUCACAGAGCAUCAUUCAGUAAGAAUGAAAGAGAAAUACGAAGGGCUCGAGGCUUACCGGUAGUGGCGAUUCUUUAAGAUGCGAAUGUGGAAAGAAAAUACCAGAGGUAUUGUUCAUUGUGUGCAGAGCUUAUCAACUGCUCAGUUAGGACAUGGCUGGACCGAAUGCGAAGACAUGGUCUUGGAUUGUACUACGAAAUAUAGAGUUGUUUUGGAGAUGGUGAGUGAUGUAGUUUGAACCGUUAGCGCUAAUUCUGAGUAUGGUCAUUACGGAGUAGCAGGUUUAGUUGAGGUUAAUGAAGUUUAAAUGGGUAGGUAUGAGUUAACCGUGGAACAGAGACUAAGUCAGGUGCAGGUUUGAAGUGUAGGAAUGGUGCGAUGGGGACAAAGUCAUGAAGAUGAAAAGACCUGAAGAUAAUAAAAUAUAGGUCUUAGGAUCAGGUCUAGAAAUUUGGUUCUUUUAUAAUGAAUUUUGUAAGGAAUGGAUAGACUUGAUGAAUGUAUGGACUAUAAACAUGUGCACUGGUUUAUGUUGGUUUUUGUUUGACUUAAAUAUGGCUGAUGGUUUUGUAUAUGGACUGUUUGUAUGAGACUUAUGUUGUCAUUUGAAAUAAGUUUGGAACUUAAAAUAACGUGAAUAAUGUUGAACUUGAAUGAUGUUGCUUUGUGUCUUGUACCUUGAAUUGUAAGAAACUCUAUAUAAAUUGAAUCUUUCUUCCGAAUUAAACAAAAGUCGAGUCUUAAUAUCACGGCCAAACUCAUGUCCUUGAAUAAUUGGAUUCACGGAAUUGCUUGAACAAACCUUGAAUCAUUUAGACUUGAUAAAGUUACUUGAAUGAAUACUUCAAAUUCAAUUCUAACUCAAUAGGACCUUAAUUCUUCAAAUCAUGUUAACUUGUUUGACAAACAACAAACGAUUGAAAGAAUAAUGCUUAUAUAUUUUCAAUUCCCUAGCAACAAUUUGAAGAAUCUUUGAAGAUGCAUUAGACUUGAAGUAUAGAAAUAAUGAAAAUCUUAAGUCCAUCCUCCAAUUAAUGAACUCCAAACAAUCUUAAGCAAUGAGCCAAGAAUCUUAUUUUUCCUCGAGAUACACACUUGAUGUCUUUUUUCUUGGAGAUCUUGAUGAAGAUGCUUAUUGUAGCUUGAUAAUCUUGAAUGAAGAGGAGAGCCUCAAAACCAAAGAGAAACCUUUAGUACUAAGAUCCUUGAUCUCAAUGCCAAGUUAUUGAUUAACAAUGCAUGAUGUGUUAGAAGACCUAAUAGAGGUAUGUAGAUGAAAUGCGAAGCUUAAGCCAGAUAUAAAUAGAAUUAGGAGGAAAAAUUUUGGGGUGCAAUACAUGGGUACCGUAUAUCCGUUCGUACUUCAACAGGGGCAACUCCCUUUUCUUUGGUUUAUGGUAUGGAAG